rnacentral:rRNA from 1 species
UACGUAGGGGGCAAGCGUUGUCCGGAUUUAUUGGGCGUAAAGAGCGUGUAGGCGGCCAGACAGGUCCGUUGUGAAAACUAGAGGCUUAACCUCUAGACGUCGAUGGAAACCGCCUGGCUAGAGUCCGGAAGAGGAGAAUGGAAUUCCUGGUGUAGCGGUGAAAUGCGCAGAUAUCAGGAAGAACACCCGUGGCUAAGGCGGUUCUCUAGUACGGUACUGACGCUGAGACGCGAAAGCGUGGGGAGCGAACAGG